rnacentral:rRNA from 1 species
AUUGAACGCUGGCGGCAGGCUUAACACAUGCAAGUCGAGCGGAGAUGAGGUGCUUGCACCUUAUCUUAGCGGCGGACGGGUGAGUAAUGCUUAGGAAUCUGCCUAUAGUGUGGGACAACAUUCCGAAAGGAAUGCUAAUACCGCAUACGUCCUACGGGAGAAAGCAGGGGAUCUUCGGACCUUGCGCUAAUAGAUGAGCCUAAGUCGGAUUAGCUAGUUGGUGGGGUAAAGGCCUACCAAGGCGACGAUCUGUAGCGGGUCUGAGAGGAUGAUCCGCCACACUGGGACUGAGACACGGCCCAGACUCCUACGGGAGGCAGCAGUGGGGAAUAUUGGACAAUGGGGGGAACCCUGAUCCAGCCAUGCCGCGUGUGUGAAGAAGGCCUUAUGGUUGUAAAGCACUUUAAGCGAGGAGGAGGCUACUGAGACUAAUACUCUUGGAUAGUGGACGUUACUCGCAGAAUAAGCACCGGCUAACUCUGUGCCAGCCGCCGCGGUAAGAC